CUGUAGGGAAGCGUGCACGGCCUCGUCCUCGACCACCUCGUCCUUUGUCAGAAUCCCUUUGGUAGUAGGGGAAUGGUUGUUUGGCUCCGAUGCCCUGGUAACCUUGUUUAGGGAAGAAUUGGUGUUGGAAGCCCAUGCGGGGGCCUGAAGGCCAGAAACGGCUGGCGGCACGGCCCCGCUGCCGACCAGCCCUUGAAAAAACACCCUUUGCAGAGGUACCUCGGAAGACCUUACGCAUGGACGUGCGGGCCCUAUUCAAUGAUGUAAAGACGUUUACGUGCUUAUUUAGUUCCUUCAUAAAAGCUUCACCAAAGAGCUUGCCCUGUGGGCCCAAUUCUUUGACCCCUAGGUCAACC